rnacentral:ribozyme from 14 species
AUUAAAAAAAAAAAACAGAAAAUGAAUGAAUGACAACGGUGACAACUCCACAGGCGGUUUGAUAGGAUACUUGGUGAGAAAUUGUUCCCUACGAUUCUUUUUGGUUGAGUUUUUUCUUUCUC